GUGGCUGAGUAUUUAGGCGAUAAAUUGUAAAUUUAUUUACGGGGUUUACCUCCUUUUAAUUCUA
rnacentral:tRNA from 1 species